UACGUAGGGUGCAAGCGUUGUCCGGAAUUAUUGGGCGUAAAGAGCUCGUAGGCGGUUUGUCGCGUCUGGUGUGAAAAUCCAGGGCUUAACCCUGGACCUGCAUCGGGUACGGGCAGACUAGAGUGCGGUAGGGGAGAUCGGAAUUCCUGGUGUAGCGGUGAAAUGCGCAGAUAUCAGGAAGAACACCAAUGGCGAAGGCAGCUCUCUGGGACGGUACUGACGCUGAGACGCGAAAGCGUGGGGAGCGAACAGG
rnacentral:rRNA from 1 species